rnacentral:lncRNA from 1 species
GGGGUUUCCCCUCUCCUUCUCUAAUCUGAAACACUAAUCUUCAGUCUCUUAUUCUCUCAGUCUCUCUAGUCUCUUAAGUCUCUUAAUCUCUCUGUUCUUAAGUCUCUUAUACACUCUCACAAAUCUCUCUUCCUAAAUCACCUAGAACAAGCUCUAAUCAUUCUUCAUUGAAGCUUAUACACACACACAUACUACCAGAGUAGAGAUCUCUUUAAAAAUCAUAUGGUAUCAGAGCCAGGUUCAUCAGAACCUGAGCUGUAGCUUCCGCACAACACAAGCUCUACCCUCAGCUCAAAUCCAAUCCUUGAAGACAUUCCCAUCCGAGUUCAGUUUCUCCAUGAGAAGAAGACUGAAGGGCGUGUCUCUCAUCCUUUCUCCUGUCUAUACUGAUGGAGAGACUCAUUGGAAGCAGAAGUGUAUGGAGAGGACUCACGAACCUCAUCCAAGGCGCCUCCUCCAAGAGCUUUCUUCACCCGGUUCAUCAUGAAAGCUGUCAAGGUGAUGGCGCCUAGAAGACUUGGAGAAAGGAGGAGUCUUUGAGCUGGAGAAACAAGAAGGUGGUCAUGAACUGAAGGAGUAGGAGGUGGGUGACUAUCCAGACUCUCAGAUUCAACAAAAGCCAUGGCCAGUCCCCUUGGAGGUUUAAGGAACCAACCUGGUUCCUUGUGAUCUCCUGUCCACUCUAUCUCCUGCCCAAUCAGCAUCACAAUAUCCAACCACUUCUGUACUGCCAUUACAACCCAUCCAAACUCCUUGACCAGACGUGCCACUCAAAUACCUCAGUAUCCUAUCAACCAUCUUCCAAUGAUGGACCUUUGGUGCCUGCAUAUGCUGACUCACUUGAUUCACCGCAAAGCAUAUAUCUGGCCUAGUGAUGGUCAAGUAGAUCAGCUUGCCCACCAUCUUCCUGUAUAGCUUAGGAUCCUCAAACAGCUGCUUCUCUUCAACCUCCCCCUCACGCAGAACCUUAUAUCCCUCCUCGAGAGGUGUCUUGGCUAUCUUUCCUCCAAGCACAUCAGUCUCCUUCAACAUAUCCAUAGUAUACUUCCUUUGAGACAUAAACAAACCCUCCUUUGAUCUGCAUAUCUCAAUGCCCAGAAAAUACUUCAUCUCUCCCAAAUCCUUGAUGUCAAACACAGAUUUGAGAAACUCCUUAGUAGCUUGAAUCCCUGCCUUAUCACUCCCUGUGAUAAUCAAAUCAUCCACAUACACUAGAAUCACAAUGAUCCCUGAGGGUCCUGUCAAGGUGAAAAGAGUGUGAUCUAGUUCAGACUUCCUAAAGCCUCUCCCAUUGAGUGUUGUACUCAGCUUCCUGUACCAAGCUCUAGGUGAUUGUUUCAGCCCAUAUAUUGCCUUCUUCAAUCUCAAUACAUUCCCUGGCUUUACUAGGUGCUCAAGACCAGGAGGCGGAUGCAUGUAUACUUCAUCUUCAAGUUCACCUUGCAGGAAAGCAUUCUUCACAUCCAUUUGCCACAAAUCCCACUCCAAGUUUGUUGCAAUGGACAACACAAUCCGAACUGUGUGCAGCUUUGCUACUGGUGCAAAGGUAUCAAUGUAAUCCUCUCCAUAGGUCUGUGUAAAUCCUCUUGCAACCAAUCUAGUCUUCUUCCUAUCAAUCUGUCCAUUUGCUAGAUACUUGAUUGUGAAGAUCCAUCUACUAGAUACAGCCUUCUUUCCCUUAGGCAGCUCACUCUCAUACCAUGUAUCAUUUUUGAUCAUAGCACCUGCUUCAGCUCCCACUGAUUCUUUCCAUUCCUUGUCUAACAUAGCUUCUUCAUAAGUCCUUGGUACAUAACUCUCAUCCAGACUAAUCAUAAAGGCAUAAUGCUCCUCUGGAAACUCAGCAAAGGAACACAUGGCUUGAGAGGGAUGCUCCACAGCCUGGGCAUUGUAGUACACUCUCGUGUUUACCCAGUUGGAAGGAUCCCUCUUUAUCCUUGUGCUCCUCCUCAAAGCUUGAACCUGAUCUUCAGUUUGAACACUAGCCGGCUCCACUUGCUCCUCUUCUGAACUGACCGGUCCGACUUGUUCUUCUCCACUAGACUGACCCUCAUCCACUUCUCCACUAGACUGAACAUUGUUCUCAACUUCUUGUGAUGUAUCUUGAUCAUGAAGGCCUGAAUCCUCUUGGUUUUGCUCUUGCUCACCAGAUUCAGUUCCAUUCCCCCUCUCAUGAUCAAGAGGACUUGUUCUUCCAGCUCCACCAGCCUGAUUGGAAGGCUCUCUCCUCCCGGGUUCCUGAUCCUGGGAUAUCCCUAUCCCGAGCUUCUCCAACAAUACUCUCAGUAUUGUUGCCUUAUCAGAUGGAGCUUGAGACAAAUCCUUCAGAUUUUCCCACUCCUUUUCUUCAUAAUAACCUUUUGUUUCAACAAACUUCACUUCUCUAGAUACCAUCACCCUCCUUGCUUCAGGAUCAUAGCACUUGUACCCCUUUUGAGUGAUAGAGUAACCAAUGAACAUAGCCUUAGUACUCUUUGCCUCAAGCUUGUUUCUCUGCUCUCCUGGAACCAUGACAUAGCACACACACCCAAAGACACGUAGGUGAUCAAUGACAGGUUUGCUCUUGUUCAACACUUCAAAUGGAGACAGGUUCUUCAAUAUCUUAGUUGGAACCCUGUUGAUGAGAUAGCAAGCAGUCUGCACAGCAUCACUCCAAAACCGUUUUGGGACAUUUGCAUGAAACAUCAUCGAUCUAGCAACCUCCAUCAAGUGCCUAUUCUUCCUCUCAGCUACACCAUUCUGCUGUGGUGUAUAAGGGCAGCUAGUCUGAUGCACAAUCCCAUGCUUGGCUAGAUAACUCUUGAAGGCAUUGCUUAUGUAUUCACCUCCAUUAUCUGAUCUCAGUACCUUCACAGUAGCAUUGUAUUGAUUAGAUACAUAUGCUUGGAAGUUCAUAAAUGCUUCUAACACCCUAUCUUUAGAUGGAAGCAAUGUAAGCCAAGUAUACUUAGACUUCUCAUCAAUAAAUGUCACAAAGUACUUCUGGCUAUCUCUAGACAAACAAGGAGCUGUCCACACAUCUGAAUGAACUAGAUCAAAGCAAUGCUCAUAAGUAGUCUCUGAUGUUGGAAAAACAGUCCUACAAUGCUUUCCUAAUAUGCAUGCUUCACAGUCCAAGUGAUUAAAUGACAUAUUAGGCAUGAUCAAUUCAAUUGCACGAGCAUGUGGAUGUCCCAAUCUAGCAUGCCAAGUCAUACUAUCACACCUAUCAACAGCACUACUUAAGCACACAGAAUCAAAAGGUUUAGAAUUCUUAGCCAUUUGAAGAUGGUAUAGCUGAUUCUUGCUGUCCCCUCUGCCAAUAACUCUCCCAGUCUUCAAAUCUUGAAACUCCACUUCAUCAGGUCUGAAUACUACUUGACAAUUAAGAUCAAUGGUAGCUUUCUUCACAGAUAAUAGAUUUGAAGUGAACUGAGGCAUGUAGAAGGCAGCCGUGUCCUUCUCAAACAGUUUGAGCUUUCCCACUCCUUCUAUUGGGAUCAUAGCACCAUUAGCUAUCAUAACACUCCCUGUUGCAGCCUUGAUCUCACUUAUAAGCCUCCUAUCACUGAUCAUAUGAUGACUUGCUCCAGAAUCAAUCACAAUGGGUUUAGAAGCUCCGGAUUGUAUAGCAUGCUUCUUGCUUGCUGCUAAGGCUUGUACAUGUUCCAUGAACACUCUCCAUUCCUUCCUGGUGAUGCGAUCAUCAGCUCCACUCCCUUUCUCCUGCUCUUUUAACACCCCACUGUCUUCUACUGUUGCCCCAUGUAGGCUGAGUAAGAACACUCUCCCACAACUCUCUUCCUACCCUUUCCUAUGUUGAUAGAAGCUUUGGAUAGCAUUCUGCACCUCCUCCUCUUCUGGAAGCCCUCACUCCUACUCCCGGUUAGCCUCCAUGAGCCCUCACUCCUACUCAUGGUUAGCUUCUGGAAGCUCUCACUCCUACUCCCAGUUGGCUUCCAUGAGCUCUCACUCCUACUCAUGGUUAGCCUCUCAUCAUCUCUCAUUAUCUCAUACGCCCUUCUUAUAAGCACACAGAUCUCUUCCAUUUCCGGAAGCUGUUCCCCUCUUAGAACCAUCUCCACCAGCCACCCAUAUGAUGACUCCAUGCUCGCCAAGAGCUUCAAGACCAUCUCUUGCUCUCGUGUAGUAUCCCCAUCCACAUGGGAUCUCAACCCUUGUAGUUCAACCCACAAAUGUUGUAGCUUCCUCACAUGGUUAUUGAACUCUUCUCUUCCUGGUUUAACUCCACUGAUCACCUUCUUGACUUCAUACACUCUCCUAAGACUGAUCUUGUUCUCAUAAACAUCUUCAAUCUUCUCAAGCAGUGUACUUUCUUCAAGACUAAAGCAAUUUCCACUUGUUUCUCUUGCUGUCUGAUCUUUCUCAGCAGCUUUACCCUUCAAAGACUCUUCCUUCUCAUGGUUUCUCCAAACUCCACACCUUUUCAGAGUUGUUUUCAUUUGUGAGAACCACCCCCACUCAAUCCCUCUCUCUUUCUUCUCUUCACGCCUUGUUGUACCAGAUUGAAGCAGCUCCAUUUUCUUUAGCCUAGAUCUUCCCUCAAAUGCUUCUAAUCUCACACGCCAAGCUCAACCACAAGCUAGACCCCUCUUCUGACCUUGUUAAACACCUAAAAGGACUCCCUUGAAGCUGACUCUCCAAAAGAAACACCAACAGACACAAGCUUGAAUUUUAAAGGAUCUAGCUCUUGAAAAAUCUCAAGAACUCUCAAGAACACUCAAGAACACUCAAGAAAAACGAAAUCACUCUCUCCUUUUUUUUGUCACACACUCAUCUGCCCUCUUGGUAUCCAUUCCUCUCAUAUCCGCACUGUCUCCUAUACACUUUUGUGUAUUAGAGUGUUUCUAACCAAGUUUAAGAACAAUCAUACUGUUUUAUCCUUGUGCUCCUCCUCAAAGCUUGAACCUGAUCUUCAGUUUGAACACUAGCCGGCUCCACUUGCUCCUCUUCUGAACUGACCGGUCCGACUUGUUCUUCUCCACUAGACUGACCCUCAUCCACUUCUCCACUAGACUGAACAUUGUUCUCAACUUCUUGUGAUGUAUCUUGAUCAUGAAGGCCUGAAUCCUCUUGGUUUUGCUCUUGCUCACCAGAUUCAGUUCCAUUCCCCCUCUCAUGAUCAAGAGGACUUGUUCUUCCAGCUCCACCAGCCUGAUUGGAAGGCUCUCUCCUCCCGGGUUCCUGAUCCUGGGAUAUCCCUAUCCCGAGCUUCUCCAACAAUACUCUCAGUAUUGUUGCCUUAUCAGAUGGAGCUUGAGACAAAUCCUUCAGAUUUUCCCACUCCUUUUCUUCAUAAUAACCUUUUGUUUCAACAAACUUCACUUCUCUAGAUACCAUCACCCUCCUUGCUUCAGGAUCAUAGCACUUGUACCCCUUUUGAGUGAUAGAGUAACCAAUGAACAUAGCCUUAGUACUCUUUGCCUCAAGCUUGUUUCUCUGCUCUCCUGGAACCAUGACAUAGCACACACACCCAAAGACACGUAGGUGAUCAAUGACAGGUUUGCUCUUGUUCAACACUUCAAAUGGAGACAGGUUCUUCAAUAUCUUAGUUGGAACCCUGUUGAUGAGAUAGCAAGCAGUCUGCACAGCAUCACUCCAAAACCGUUUUGGGACAUUUGCAUGAAACAUCAUCGAUCUAGCAACCUCCAUCAAGUGCCUAUUCUUCCUCUCAGCUACACCAUUCUGCUGUGGUGUAUAAGGGCAGCUAGUCUGAUGCACAAUCCCAUGCUUGGCUAGAUAACUCUUGAAGGCAUUGCUUAUGUAUUCACCUCCAUUAUCUGAUCUCAGUACCUUCACAGUAGCAUUGUAUUGAUUAGAUACAUAUGCUUGGAAGUUCAUAAAUGCUUCUAACACCCUAUCUUUAGAUGGAAGCAAUGUAAGCCAAGUAUACUUAGACUUCUCAUCAAUAAAUGUCACAAAGUACUUCUGGCUAUCUCUAGACAAACAAGGAGCUGUCCACACAUCUGAAUGAACUAGAUCAAAGCAAUGCUCAUAAGUAGUCUCUGAUGUUGGAAAAACAGUCCUACAAUGCUUUCCUAAUAUGCAUGCUUCACAGUCCAAGUGAUUAAAUGACAUAUUAGGCAUGAUCAAUUCAAUUGCACGAGCAUGUGGAUGUCCCAAUCUAGCAUGCCAAGUCAUACUAUCACACCUAUCAACAGCACUACUUAAGCACACAGAAUCAAAAGGUUUAGAAUUCUUAGCCAUUUGAAGAUGGUAUAGCUGAUUCUUGCUGUCCCCUCUGCCAAUAACUCUCCCAGUCUUCAAAUCUUGAAACUCCACUUCAUCAGGUCUGAAUACUACUUGACAAUUAAGAUCAAUGGUAGCUUUCUUCACAGAUAAUAGAUUUGAAGUGAACUGAGGCAUGUAGAAGGCAGCCGUGUCCUUCUCAAACAGUUUGAGCUUUCCCACUCCUUCUAUUGGGAUCAUAGCACCAUUAGCUAUCAUAACACUCCCUGUUGCAGCCUUGAUCUCACUUAUAAGCCUCCUAUCACUGAUCAUAUGAUGACUUGCUCCAGAAUCAAUCACAAUGGGUUUAGAAGCUCCGGAUUGUAUAGCAUGCUUCUUGCUUGCUGCUAAGGCUUGUACAUGUUCCAUGAACACUCUCCAUUCCUUCCUGGUGAUGCGAUCAUCAGCUCCACUCCCUUUCUCCUGCUCUUUUAACACCCCACUGUCUUCUACUGUUGCCCCAUGUAGGCUGAGUAAGAACACUCUCCCACAACUCUCUUCCUACCCUUUCCUAUGUUGAUAGAAGCUUUGGAUAGCAUUCUGCACCUCCUCCUCUUCUGGAAGCCCUCACUCCUACUCCCGGUUAGCCUCCAUGAGCCCUCACUCCUACUCAUGGUUAGCUUCUGGAAGCUCUCACUCCUACUCCCAGUUGGCUUCCAUGAGCUCUCACUCCUACUCAUGGUUAGCCUCUCAUCAUCUCUCAUUAUCUCAUACGCCCUUCUUAUAAGCACACAGAUCUCUUCCAUUUCCGGAAGCUGUUCCCCUCUUAGAACCAUCUCCACCAGCCACCCAUAUGAUGACUCCAUGCUCGCCAAGAGCUUCAAGACCAUCUCUUGCUCUCGUGUAGUAUCCCCAUCCACAUGGGAUCUCAACCCUUGUAGUUCAACCCACAAAUGUUGUAGCUUCCUCACAUGGUUAUUGAACUCUUCUCUUCCUGGUUUAACUCCACUGAUCACCUUCUUGACUUCAUACACUCUCCUAAGACUGAUCUUGUUCUCAUAAACAUCUUCAAUCUUCUCAAGCAGUGUACUUUCUUCAAGACUAAAGCAAUUUCCACUUGUUUCUCUUGCUGUCUGAUCUUUCUCAGCAGCUUUACCCUUCAAAGACUCUUCCUUCUCAUGGUUUCUCCAAACUCCACACCUUUUCAGAGUUGUUUUCAUUUGUGAGAACCACCCCCACUCAAUCCCUCUCUCUUUCUUCUCUUCACGCCUUGUUGUACCAGAUUGAAGCAGCUCCAUUUUCUUUAGCCUAGAUCUUCCCUCAAAUGCUUCUAAUCUCACACGCCAAGCUCAACCACAAGCUAGACCCCUCUUCUGACCUUGUUAAACACCUAAAAGGACUCCCUUGAAGCUGACUCUCCAAAAGAAACACCAACAGACACAAGCUUGAAUUUUAAAGGAUCUAGCUCUUGAAAAAUCUCAAGAACUCUCAAGAACACUCAAGAACACUCAAGAAAAACGAAAUCACUCUCUCCUUUUAAAGCAACCUGGCUCUGAUACCAUAUACACUUUUGUGUAUUAGAGUGUUUCUAACCAAGUUUAAGAACAAUCAUACUGUUUUAUGUAAGAUUAAAGAGAUUAAGAGAAUAAGUAGAGAGAGAAUACUCAAAACUCCAUUAAUUAAUAACUGAUGAGGUUUACAAGUAUAUAUAGAGAGAGCAACAAGGGUUUUCGAAAUGUAUAAGCAUGUGGAGUCAAAGGACAGACUGGAACUCCUUUUGAAUCACUUGGCUGUGCUUUCUCACAUGCUUGCACUAGUGUAAAAGCAUCCUCUCCUUUCCAGCAUCAUACAGGCUGUCAAAGUGAUCCCUUAUCCUUCCUUAACCUCCCUUAUCCUCUUUGGUCGAGUUUCCUCUCUUCUCUUCACUAAGUUACCUUCUCAUCCCAUCAGAUAUCAUACAGGCUGUCAAAGUGAUCCCUUAUCCUUCCUUAUCCUCUUCCAACGUCUCACUUAGGAUAAGAAAGGAUUAACCUCAGUUAGACUCCAAUCUAACCCAUCCGGGUAACUUCUCUUCUUCUCACUUUAGUUACCACAGUAAAACUAAAGUUACUGUGGUAAAUCCCAAAGUUACUGACUAACCCAAUACUCUUCCUCUAUCAAUGUAUCAACGGCCUUGUACGGCCUUGCCUUGUACGGACACACCUUACCCAACCUUCUCCAUUCCUCCUAAGCUCCUUCUUAACCUCUCAAGACUUCUCUUCAACCCUCCCCCUCAAGCUUAGCUUUGUGAAAGUCUAAGCUUGGACAGCUAUGAGAUCUUCCUCAUUAAAAACCUCACCAAGGAAAACCCAUUGGGAUAAAACCUUGAUGAGGGAAAAAGAGUGGAGACUCCAUGGUUAAGGGGCUCAUCUCCUAGGAGUAAGAUCAAUGAGUCCAAGUCUUGAUAGUAUGGACUCCAUUGUCUUCAAUCUCGCUGCCUUAGUAAACACAUCUGCAAGCUGAUCUUCACUUCUUGUAUAACAUGGCAGAAUCACUCCUAAGAUGAUCAUCUGCCUCACCUUAUGACAAUCCACCUCUAUGUGCUUUGUUCUCUCAUGAAACACUGAGUUGGAGGCAAUGUGGAUAGCUGCUUGAUUGUCACAAUGCAUAGUCAUAGGAGCACUCUGCUCAAUCUCUAGAUGCUUCAAGAUCCCCUUGAUCCACACCAACUCGUUUGUCAGCUUCAACAUGGCUCUAUACUCAGCUUCAGCACUUGAACAGGAGAUAACCUUCUGCUUCUUACUCUUCCAAGUGACCAAGUUCCCUCCAAUGAAUGUACAAUACCCAGUAGUUGAUCUCCUGUCCACUCUAUCUCCUGCCCAAUCAGCAUCACAAUACCCAACCACUUCUGUACUGCCAUUGCAACACAUCCAAACUCCUUGACCAGACGUGCCACUCAAAUACCUCAGUAUCCUAUCAACCAUCUUCCAAUGAUGGACCUUUGGCGCCUGCAUAUGUUGACUCACUUGAUUCACCGCAAAGCAUAUAUCUGGCCUAGUGAUGGUCAAGUAGAUCAGCUUGCCAACCAUCUUCCUGUAUAGCUUAGAAUCCUCAAACAGCUGCUUCUCUUCAACCUCCCCCUCACGCAGAACCUUAUAUCCCUCCUCGAGAGGUGUCUUGGCUAUCUUUCCUCCAAGCACAUCAGUCUCCUUCAACAUAUCCAUAGUAUACUUCCUUUGAGACAUAAACAAACCCUCCUUUGAUCUGCAUAUCUCAAUGCCCAGAAAAUACUUCAUCUCUCCCAAAUCCUUGAUGUCAAACACAGAUUUGAGAAACUCCUUAGUAGCUUGAAUCCCUGCCUUAUCACUCCCUGUGAUAAUCAAAUCAUCCACAUACACUAGAAUCACAAUGAUCCCUGAGGGUCCUGUCAAGGUGAAAAGAGUGUGAUCUAGUUCAGACUUCCUAAAGCCUCUCCCAUUGAGUGUUGUACUCAGCUUCCUGUACCAAGCUCUAGGUGAUUGUUUCAGCCCAUAUAUUGCCUUCUUCAAUCUCAAUACAUUCCCUGGCUUUACUAGGUGCUCAAGACCAGGAGGCGGAUGCAUGUAUACUUCAUCUUCAAGUUCACCUUGCAGGAAAGCAUUCUUCACAUCCAUUUGCCACAAAUCCCACUCCAAGUUUGUUGCAAUGGACAACACAAUCCGAACUGUAUGCAGCUUUGCUACUGGUGCAAAGGUAUCAAUGUAAUCCUCUCCAUAGGUCUGUGUAAAUCCUCUUGCAACCAAUCUAGUCUUCUUCCUAUCAAUCUGUCCAUUUGCUAGAUACUUGAUUGUGAAGAUCCAUCUACUAGAUACAGCCUUCUUUCCCUUAGGCAGCUCACUCUCAUACCAUGUAUCAUUUUUGAUCAUAGCACCUGCUUCAGCUCCCACUGAUUCUUUCCAUUCCUUGUCUAACAUAGCUUCUUCAUAAGUCCUUGGUACAUAACUCUCAUCCAGACUAAUCAUAAAGGCAUAAUGCUCCUCUGGAAACUCAGCAAAGGAACACAUGGCUUGAGAGGGAUGCUCCACAGCCUGGGCAUUGUAGUACACUCUCGUGUUUACCCAGUUGGAAGCAUCUCUCUUCAGCCGUGUGCUUCUCCUCAAUGGUACCUCAGCUGGUGCUUGCUCUGGUGCUUCUACUUCAGUUGCUUCCACUCCUCCUUGUUCUGGUAACUCAUUAAGCUCUUCAUUACUUGGUUCAGCUCCACCUUGAUCAGGAUGAUCCGCAACAUCUUGAUUCUCAUCCGGCUCAAUUUCAUUCCCUCCCUCAUGAUCAAGGUGAGAUGGUUCUUCAGCUUCUUGUCUUUCAGAUGACUGAUUCUCUGUCGACUCCUGGGACAUUCCAAUUCCAAGACCUUCUAGUAUCUGUCUCAAGCUUGUAGCUCUAUCUGAAGGUUGUGAAAGAUCCUCCAGCUCUUUCCAAUCUUUAUCUUCAUAGUAGCUCUUCUCUUCAAAGAACUUGACAUCUCUAGAUACAAGUACUCUCCUUGUCUCAGGAACAAAGCAUUUGUAUCCCUUCUGUGUUGAACUGAAGAGAAGAAUGGAGCUUGUACAUAUAGGGGCAAGCUCUUGAAGAUCUUAAGAAGAGUUCUAUGAAGCUUCAGAAGUGAUGAGAAGCUGAUACAAGAUUUGGGCAAUGUCCAAGAAGGGUUCUAAUCAGACAUGGGAGAACAUUGGAGGAGUUUAGGCUGCAAUGGUUAAUGAGAAAGUUAGGGCGAUCCGUACGGACGGCCGUACGGACUGUACGGACCGUACGGACCAGGGCGUCCCAAAACUUAUCAUCUCGACCAUUUAAGCAUAGUUGAGGAAUGUGCAAGCUUAGGGCACAAUGUGUACGGCCAGGAAGUCCGUACAGCAUGGUCUGGUCAUGACUUGGGUCACAAGGCAUGGAGAAACUCAUUUGGACCUUAUACAUGAAGAAGGGAUCAAAAUGGCAUCUUGGAUGGCCUUGGAAAGGAUCAGGCGAGAUGCUGUCCGUGUAUGGAUAAGGUCUUCACUCCUAUUGGCUUAUUCAGUCCACAAGACAGCUCAUGACAGCCUGUGUAAAGACCAGGAACGCCCAAGCUUCCUAUUGGCCAAGCAUGUGAAGCUUACGGUCCAUAGAAUUCAAAAUAAGGCUCCUCCUUGUUUGACUUCACAUGUGUGAUGUAUCUGACUGUAAACCCUAGUAGAAAACAGUCUGUCCUAUUUAAAUAAGAGGCAGAGACGAUUUGUAAGCUCUAAGUGAGUAAGGGGGUUUCCCUUCUCCUUCUCUAAUCUUCAGUCUCUUAUUCUCUCAGUUUCUCUCUAGUCUCUUAAGUCUCUUAAUCUCUGUUCUUAAGUCUCACAUACUCAUAAACACUCUCACUAAUCCUUUCCUAUAUAUCACCUAGAACAAGCUCUAAUCAUUCUUCAUUGAAGCUUAUACACACACACAUACUACCAGAGUAGAGAUCUCUUUAAAAAUCAUAUUCUGUGUGGUUGAGUAUCCUAUCAUCAUAGCUUUGAUACUCUUUGCUUCCAGCUUGUUUCUCAUCUCUCCCGGGACAAGAACAUAGCUUACACACCCAAACACUCUUAGGUGAUCUAGGACUGGCUUAGCUCAAAUCCAACCCUUGAAGACAUUCCCAUCCGAGUUCAGUUUCUCCAUGAGAAGAAGACUGAAGGGCGUGUCUCUUAUCCUUUCUCCUGUCUAUACUGAUGGAGAGACUCAUUGGAAGCAGAAGUGUAUGGAGAGGACUCACGAACCUCAUCCAAGGCGCCUCCUCC